rnacentral:rRNA from 1 species
GACGAACCGUGCGAACGUUGUUCGGAAUCACUGGGCUUAAAGGGCGCGUAGGCGGAUGGCCAAGUCGGUGGUGAAAUCCCCCAGCUCAACUGGGGAACGGCCUUCGAUACUGGUCGUCUGGAGGGGGUAGGGGCAGACGGAACUUCCGGUGGAGCGGUGAAAUGCGUAGAUAUCGAUAGGAACUCCGGUGGCGAAGGCGGC